rnacentral:lncRNA from 1 species
UUAAAAAAAUUAGAAAUAAGGGGUCAAACUGCAAAUAAAAAAAGUUUACCCAUGUAGGACCGCUCAGUCAGAAGCCUUGACGAACCGGAGCAUGCCGAGUGGUAAGGCAUGCUGAAGUCGAUGCACGCGGACGAUCUGCGUGCUCCGUGAUCGGACGACCCACGAUAGAUCCCGCGCACGUGAACGGUCUGAAUUUAUUUUGCCAUUAGACGCGAUCGAACGAUUGAGAUCAAUCAUGAUGGAAGGUAUAAAUUCGUUUUUUCUUUACGCACGAUUAGACGAACAAGAUCAAUUGUGAUGAACAGUCUAGAUCAAUGCAUGAUGUGUAUAAAUACUUCACAUUGCAUGAAAACCCAAACU